UACGUAGGGGCGCAAGCGUUAUCCGGAAUUAUUGGGCGUAAAGAGCUCGUAGGCGGUUUGUCGCGUCUGCUGUGAAAGACCGGGGCUCAACUCCGGUUCUGCAGUGGGUACGGGCAGACUAGAGUGCAGUAGGGGGAGACUGGAAUUCCUGGUGUAGCGGUGAAAUGCGCAGAUAUCAGGAGGAACACCGAUGGCGAAGGCAGGUCUCUGGGCUGUAACUGACGCUGAGGAGCGAAAGCAUGGGGAGCGAACAGG
rnacentral:rRNA from 1 species